rnacentral:rRNA from 1 species
AUACGGAGGAUCCGAGCGUUAUCCGGAUUUAUUGGGUUUAAAGGGUGCGAAGGCGGCCAUUUAAGUCAGCUGUGAAAGUUUGGGGCUCAACCUUAAAAUUGCAGUUGAUACUGGUUUCCUUGAGUACGGUAUAGGUGGGCGGAAUUCGUGGUGUAGCGGUGAAAUGCUUAGAUAUCACGAAGAACUCCGAUCGCGAAGGCAGCUCACCGGGCCGGAACUGACACUGAUGCUCGAAAGUGCGGGUAUCAAACAGGAUUAGAUACCCUGGUAGUCCGCACAGUAAACGAUGAAUACUCGCUGUUUGCGAUACACUGUAAGCGGCCAAGCGAAAGCGUUAAGUAUUCCACCUGGGGAGUACGCCGGCAACGGUGAAACUCAAAUGAAUUGGCGGGG